rnacentral:rRNA from 1 species
AGUGAACGCUGGCGGCGUGCCUAAUACAUGCAAGUCGAACGGCGUGGCGCACGGGUGAGUAAUAUAUAGCUAAUCUGCCCCUUGCUGGAGGACAACAGUUAGCAAUGACUGCUAAUACUCCAUAGCAAGGGAUGCGACUAUAUCGUGUCAGCUAGUCGGGCGGGUAACGGCCUACCGAGGCUAUGACGCGUAGCUGGUCUGAGAGGAGGAUCAGUCACAGUGGAAAUGCUACACGGUCCAAACGACUACGGGAGGCAGCAGAAGGGAAUAUUGCGCAAUGGGGGAAACCCUGACGCAGAAACGCCGCGUGGAGGAUGACACUUGUCGGAGCGUAAACUCCUUUUGUUAGGGAAGCGGUACCUAACGAAGAAGCACCGGCUAACUCCGUGCCAGCAGCCGCGGUAAUAC